UAAGGAAAGGCCAUUUCACUUUGCCAAGUUCGAAGCGGUACACAGGGAGCUUGCUCCUGGGUGACGAGCGGCUUUUCGGGUGAUUAUGUCUGGGAAACUGCCUGAUGGAGGGGGAUAACUACUGGAAACGGUACCUAAUACCGCAUAACGUCGCAAGACCAAAGAGGGGGACCUUCUGGCCUCUUGCCAUCACAUGUGCCCAGAUGGGAUUAGCUUGUAGGUGGGGUAACGGCUCUCCUAUGCGACAAUCCCUAUCUUGUCUGAGAGGAUGACCCCCCCCACUGUAUCUGUGACAUGGUCCAGACUCCUACGGGUGGCAGUUGUGGGGAAUAUUGCACAAUGUGCGCAAGCCCGAUGCAGCCAUGCCGCGUGUUUCUAGAAGGGCUCCGGGUUGUAAAGUACCUUCCCCGGGGAGGAAGGUCGUGAAGUUAAUAACCUCUUUCAAUUGUCCUUAACCCCAAAAAAACCCCCUUCUAACU
rnacentral:rRNA from 1 species